UCCUCUUCACCAGGAGCAUGAGCUGUGCAGUGAUGCUGCUGUUGGUGGGGGCCUUAGUCCUGCUUGGGCCGUAAGCUGAGGUGGCACUUCUGGAGUUGGUGCUCCAAGCAAGGGUGGCUUCUUCCAGAAGCAUGCAGAAUGGAAAUGGACCAUGAAAGGUAUCAUGUGCUGGUGAAGGCAGCUGGGGCAGCACUAACAGAGAGUAGUCAAAAUUCUACACAGCAAAACCUAAAUACAGAUGCCAAAGCAUUUUGAGAGCAACUGGAAAUACAAUACAAGCUGAAAAUGGAGUGCUGGCAAACUCCAUCCUACCCUAAUGCUGUGCAUGAGCUAUGCCUUCUUUCCAUGGAAGGCAUCUAUCUCAAAGGAGGAAUGCACCUCUUCAUGUCAUUUCAUCUAGAACAUCAAGAUUUAUGAUGCCCAUUCCUGGAGGCACAUUUUCAAAAGCAAAUGAUAAAGAUUCCAGACCUGAUCCAGUGAAGAUGUAGGUGAGUACAUCACUGAUGUGCAAGCUCAAAACCAGGGCUUAAUAGGUCCUUUCUAAAUGCUUGCCUGAUGUUUAUACCACCUAAAACUUGCUACUUGG
rnacentral:lncRNA from 1 species